CCUACGGGAGGCAGCAGUAGGGAAUAUUGCUCAAUGGGGGAAACCCUGAAGCAGCAACGCCGCGUGGAGGAUGAAGGUUUUCGGAUUGUAAACUCCUUUUGUUAGAGAAGAUAAUGACGGUAUCUAACGAAUAAGCACCGGCGAACUCCGUGCCAGCAGCCGCGGUAAUACGGAGGGUGAAAGCGUGCCUCGGAAUCACUGGGCGUAAAGAGCGCGUAGGCGGGAUAGCAAGUCAGAUGUGAAAUCCUCUGGCUUACCCAUAGAACUGCAUUUGAAACUGUUAUUCUAGAGUAUGGGAGAGGUAGGUGGAAUUCUUGGUGUAGGGGUAAAAUCCGUAGAGAUCAAGAGGAAUACUCAUUGCGAAGGCGACCUGCUAGAACCUAACUGACGCUGCUGCGCGACAGCGUGGGGGCAAACAGGAUUAGAUACCCCUGUAGUC
rnacentral:rRNA from 1 species